rnacentral:rRNA from 1 species
UUGCCUCGGGGCGCAGCAGUGAGGAAUAUUGGUCAAUGGCCGGAAGGCUGAACCAGCCAAGUCGCGUGAGGGAAUAAGGCCCUAUGGGUCGUAAACCUCUUUUGUCAGGGAGCAAAGGCGUCCACGUGUGGACGAGAGGAGAGUACCUGAAGAAAAGGCAUCGGCUAACUCCGUGCCAGCAGCCGCGGUAAUACGGAGGAUGCGAGCGUUAUCCGGAUUUAUUGGGUUUAAAGGGUGCGUAGGCGGAGUGUCAAGUCAGCGGUAAAAUUUCGGGGCGCAACCCCGUCGUGCCGCGGAAACAGACG